rnacentral:rRNA from 1 species
CCUACGGGUGGCUGCAGUGAGGAAUAUUGGUCAAUGGGCGCGAGCCUGAACCAGCCAAGUCGCGUGAGGGAGGACGGCCCUACGGGUUGUAAACCUCUUUUGCCGGGGAGAAACUGGCGUCACGUGUGGCGCCACCGAGAGUACCCGGAGAAAAAGCAUCGGCUAACUCCGUGCCAGCAGCCGCGGUAAUACGGAGGAUCCGAGCGUUAUCCGGAUUUAUUGGGUUUAAAGGGAGGGUAGAAGGGUUGUUAAGUCAGUUGUUAAAGUUUUCGGCUCAAACGUAAAAUUGCAAUUGAUACUGGCAGCCUUGAGUACAGUUGAGGUAGGCGGAAUUCGUGGUGUAGCGGUGAAAUGCUUAGAUAUCACGAAGAACUCCGAUUGCGAAGGCAGCUUACUAAACUGCCACUGACAUUGAUGCUCGAAAGUGUGGGUAUCAAACAGGAUUAGAUACCCUUGUAGUC